UGUGACAGAGUAAAAGCAGGAUCUCCUUCAAUAUAUCUGACAGCUGUUAAGGUAAAUGAUCUAUAUCCUUAUUUCCUCCAUAUGUAUAUAUAUCUCAAUUAUCUUGAUCAAUUACAUUGUAUUGUCUCUCUCUGUAGAGUGUCACUGAUCAAAUUUCAAAAAGAGAGAUCGCAAAAGCUCUGUCUAUAUCCAAUAAUUACAUAGAAAUUGAAGAUGGUAUUUUGAUAGAUUUUCCGGGUUUGAGCCUUCAUGCAGCUGUAAUGUUUUGUUGCUUUUUUUUUUCCUUCACUCGGUUGAAUCAGACUUCAAACUUAAUUUUUUGUUAUAAUGUUGAAACCAGCUGUAAUGGAUUUUGGUAUGAGGAAGGGUGUAAUGGAUUCAGUACCUGUAUGUUUUGGCUUUGGCUUUUGUGAAUUCUUA